rnacentral:rRNA from 1 species
UACAGAGGGUCCCCAAGCGUUGUUCGGAUUCAUUGGGCGUAAAGGGCGCGUAGGCGGUCAGCACAAGUCAGUUGUGAAAUCUCCGGGCUUAACUCGGAAAGGUCAACUGAUACUGUGCGACUAGAGUGCAGAAGGGGCAACUGGAAUUCUCGGUGUAGCGGUGAAAAUGCGUAGAUAUCGUAAGGAAGACCAGUGGCGAAGGCGGGUCUCUGGACAGUUCCUGACGCUGAGGAGCGAAAGCGUGGGGAGCGAACAGG